rnacentral:rRNA from 1 species
UGGCGGCGUGCCUAAUACAUGCAAGUCGAACGGUCUUUCUAUGGAAGCUUGCUUCCACUGAGAAGAUAGUGGCGAACGGGUGGAGUAACACGUGGGUAACCUGCCCAUAAGAGGGGGGAUAACAUCCGGAAACGGGUGCUAAUACCGCAUAGUUUUCUUGAUCGCAUGAUCGGGAAAGGAAAGACGGCCUUUGUGCUGUCGCUUAUGGAUGGACCCGCGGCGUAUUAGUUAGUUGGUGAGGUAACGGCUCACCAAGACGAUGAUACGUAGCCGACCUGAGAGGGUGAUCGGCCACAUUGGGACUGAGACACGGCCCAAACUCCUACGGGAGGCAGCAGUAGGGAAUCUUCCGCAAUGGACGAAAGUCUGACGGAGCAACGCCGCGUGAGUGAAGAAAGGUUUUCGGAUCGUAAAACUCUGUUGUCAGAGAAGAACAAGUUGGAGAGUAACUGCUCCAGCCUUGACGGUAUCUGACCAGAAAGCCACGGCUAACUACGUGCCAGCCGCUGC